UAAAGGCUCAAUUUCAAUGUUUCUGGUUAUUAAAAUGCGUUAAACUCACACCCAGCUGAGAAUUGAGCUCAAUAAAGCCGGCUCGAUUAACCUCGUUCGCUUGGGUGACCUGUUAGUGUGUUCACCAUGGAUAUCAAAUAUAUGUAGAACUAGAUGCGAGAAGCGCGCUGUGAGACCCAUGGCCCUUUCAUAAAGAUUAUAGUGAAUGGAGCCUCUAUGUUUUUCCAUAAGGACAUUAAUUGCGAUUAAUCGCAUUUUUUUAAAUAAUAAAUUCAAAAGUAGUAAUUAGCCCAAUUUUAUUUUUAAUGUACUGCCAUUAUAAUCUAUAUUAACCCAUUGCCAUUGGAUUGGGCAUCACGCCGACAAUAGGAGACGAGUUAAAGCGUAGAUAAAUUAAUUAACUGAGUUUAUUUGCGAUUAAAGCAUUCUGUAUGAUAACGAAUUGAAAAGUAUUCAGUGCAUUUUGUAUAGCAAUAAAUUGAAAAGUCAUAUGCAGCACUUUUAUUUAAAUGUACUGUCAUCUGAAUGAAAUAUUAAUCUACAUAUAUUAACUUACAAUGACUGAAUGCACAGUUAAAAUAAUCAACUUUGUUGAUUAAGAUACAAGUUAACUCUUGAGUUAACUCACCCAGGAUUAAUAUAUAUUUUCAACAUCCAGAAAAAUCAACUUUUGAGUCUAGUGCUAUAUAUAUGGCGGAACACUCGGGUGACUUGAAGUUCUGCUCUGAGAACCCCAAUAUGGCCAAAUUUCAAAAUUGUCCGAUAUGCAUGUGUGAUACGCCAUUGGAAAGCUUAAGAUCUAAAUUUUCUGGGGGAAGAACAAUGUUGAACAGGAGGGCAUUUAAAAAAAAAUUGAAAUAGCAAAACCCUAACUGUAGGUGAGAGCACGCGAGAGCAUAAUUAAAGACGCCAUGAUUUUAACGAGAUAUUAUCGCGUACUUACCUCUUUCGAGACACAGCUGUGAAUGGCCACAGCCGGAUUUUUGGGGGAUUUUAUGGGUGAAACAUGGUAAUAUAACAAGGGGUCGCGAUGCAGAAAUCGCAGACAUCAAGGAGUGGUCUAGAUUUUCUUUUUCAUUAUUUACCCUUUUAAAUGUUUUCAAUUCUUCUUUGUUUGGAUCAAUUAUUUAUCAUCUAACAUAUUGGGGAAAAUGUGACAGUAGCAAAAAAAUAAAAGAAAUAAUCGAUAGUUAUGAGGUAAAUAUCCUUGACUUUUACAGACUCCAUUUUUUCAUUGUGACGUAAUUUGUUUAAAAGUUUAAAAUAUGGAGUGAAUAAUUUUUUUAAAUCGUUUUUUUUUUAAACUAAAUAUUAGUGUAACCAGUACAGAAAUUAUAAAGUACUUUUAUUUUGAAAGUGCAAUUAUUUUGAAAAAGGAAAUAUUUUUUUUUAAUGCUUUACUUCCUCAUGUGCAUUCACAUGAGAGGAUAAUAGUUUUUUAAUUGGUCCGAUUAACAUGAUCCCGCCCUCUCUAGACAUCCUCUCGAAGGUACUUAAAUUCCCGCUUUUUUCUGCUUGGAUGCCAAGGAGGAAGGAUGUAGUGAACUUCCUUGGCGCUUGGAGCCAAUAAGUCAGCCUUGUUGAAAUAAAAUAAUUUACUCAACGCUGAAAUAAGGCCGUUUGAACAAAUAAUAAGAAGGAAAUUACAUUUCCUCGUGUAUGUGAACCGGAGGAUUGGAGCCUGCAUCCACCCAAGUUCACAUUAAAAGAAAAACUUCGUCUCGGCUGGGGUUUUUUGUUUCCUCCUUUCAUUGGAUGUGGAUGAAGAAUUCGAAACUGGAUAAAGACUCUGGAUAAAGACUUUUACAAUGGAUGAAGAUGGCGAGCCUAUGCCCGGAAACCAACUGAUUGGAAUUCAGACGGACUGUCUGGUUUGAAAUUUUGUUUAUUUCAUUGUAUAUAUUUCUGUUUAUAUUGCCGGCUUAAAUUUGUAAAUAGUUUUGUGUAUUAAUAUAAUUAUUUUAUUACUCAUCUCGACUCCAGUUAUUUCAGUUACUAAACAUUAUUUUCUUUAUUGUAAUCUCUGAGAACCUAGUUCCCUGCCCAAACACAAUUGCACUCACAACCGAACCCCAUCAUCUUGAAUUGGGGGUUACAUUAGACAUCAAUUAAUGGUUCUAAAAUAAAAAUGACAUACAUUUUGAUUAAUAAAUAUAAUUACUUCUUUUUAUUGCUGGAUUGAAACAAAAGCGGUUGCGCAACGUCUGUAAACGGGGGCUUCCAGGGUAAAAGGAACAAAUUAAAAAUAGUUCAGGGGCUUAAUGCGCCAUGAAUCUGCUAUGACAGCAUAUAAACAUUGUUCUAUCAAACACAACAGUUAUUUUGGCUUAAAAUAUAGCAGUUUAUUUUAAAGGGGAGCGCAAGAGCAGAAACUGCUUUUUCAGUCUUAUCUGUUUUCCGCCACAUGAUAUCUAUGUCCAAAUCUACCAGUUACCACCUCUUUUCAUACUGAUACGUUCCCAUCUUGCAGCUCAUAAUAUCUAAUCCAAGUGUCAUUUGGAAUGAAAGCAAGGCCGAGGGUGACACCCAAGCCAACGCCGUUGUUUCGCUCUCAUCAGGUCAGCGCCUCGGCGGUGUCGCCAUGGAAAUGGAUCAAUUAUGUAUGUAGGCUGCAUAUUAUUGACACUGCGUCAGCGCGUGACACCGGAGUGGGUCACCCAAACUAAUGAUAAAGUUGACAGGACAGGAAACAGUCCAUAUAUGAACAAUGAAUUGUGUAUUUUGCAGUGUAUAACUUGCAUUGGACAAAAAUGUACAAUUAACAGGAAACACAAAAGAUGUAGCAUUUUGGGACUGUUAGCUUGGCUGUUACCUAGAACGCCUCUUCAAGUUGUGUGGUCCUGAAACACAUCGUACAGCCAUGUAGAUCACCCAAACUAAUGAUAAAGUUGGCAGGACAUGAGUCAGUACAUAUAUGAACAGUGAAUUAUGCAUUUUGCGGUGUACAGUAUAAGUUGCACCGAAAAUGCACAAUGAAAAGCAAAACUGUUAGCUUGACUGUUUGUUAGCUUGAAUGCUUCGUCAAGUUGGGUUUCUACAGUUUCUAUAUAAAAACCCCAUCUCUAUUAAUGGAAAGAAUGAAGCUGCCACGUUGAUUAAAACACAGUCAUUAAACAAAGAUGUCUGACUCCUUGUGAUGCUCAUUACCGUAAUCCCUGUCCCUCCCACUGACUGCAUCUUAUAUGAGUCCACAUAAGGACAGUCUAUACCCCCACCCAACCAUUAUUAUCUGCCUGUAUCUGAAUAAUAUACAGACUGAGAUUUAGCCUUGAUUUGACCCCACUCGCCACCCCCCACGUCGACCCCACUUGCCCGUCUGUACCGCCAUAUGAUGUAGGACGGUUUGGAAACAAUAGAGAAGUUGUCUGCAUUGUCACAUGAUUAUGGGAUUCAACCAUUUCUCAAAAAUGUGACCGUGAUGACGAUGAUGGCAAAUGACAGCUCCGUUACAUCGUUUAAACAAAUUUGCACCUCUUCGCUCCCCAUGCGUCUUCAAGAACGUAAAGGGAAAGUUUCGAAGGUGAGGGUUUAUUCCGAAAUCAUUUUUUUGCCGAUUUUUUGACAGCAACACAAUCGAAUUCG